rnacentral:lncRNA from 1 species
CCUUUCUUGGCUGAUCCCUUUUGCUUUAUGGCGUGCUCGUUUGGGCUGGGCGUCGGCUAAGAGUGCUCGGAGCGUGGAUUAACUCCAGUCUCCAAUCAGGUAAUUUCCAGCCUUAGAUGGAUCGGGGUUGCUAGGGGCUCGGAGGAAGCCACACACACUAUUUAUGUUACAGUUUUGAUUAUUACCUUUAAAUUAUUUUGUGGGUUGUAGUAAAGCCGUUGUAAUUUUCUGGAUUUCAAAUUUGGAAUAGUAACACCCCUAUCCCGUAACCGUCGCCGGAAUAGGUAAGGGGCAUUACCGGACUUGUAACUCAUGUCAAAACAGUAAAAUUUUGAAUUUUUUUUUCUUGAAAUAAAGAUCAUUCAUUUAAAUAAGUACUAAGCACAGCCAGGGAUAAAAUUUAAACUUCUCUAAGUAAACAUUCAAAAGAUGCCAUUUUCGCUUGGCUUAUAUACAUUAACCAAAAAUAUUCUCCCGCCACUAGUCUAUUCUAUACAUGCCAUAAGAUAAUCCAAAACGUAGCAGUACCAAACAGUGGAUAGUGAUAGUGUGACUAGUUGCUGAUGAUCCCCGAGCCUGUAGCUUCCAAAUGAGAUCUAUAAAACAGAGGAAACAGAGUAAACGGAGUAAGCAUUACAAUGCUUAGUAAGUUUUAAGCAGUGUCAACAGAUAACAAUCAAAUUAUAACAUAGUUGUUCGUAUUUUUAUUUCACUCUUCCUUCGGGCAUACCAUCCCUUUACCGAAUAUGCACAUCUCAUCAUAUACAAUAGGCAGAUAAACUUUCACAUAAAAGUGAGCUCAUGUGACAUAGAUAUAUCGUAUGAUUUCACAUAACCUCUCACACUGAUCCGAUGUCACAUAAUCAUAGGAAUAGUCUCAUAUAUUGCUCUCGUAUGCAUCACAUAACUACCUUAUGAUUUAGUGCAAAUCAAGCUCACAUAUAAACUUGGAGUACAUACCUGUUUAACCUUUCACAUUGAAUAUAUUUAUAAGCAAUUCUUAUUACGAAGUCUUACCCGGACAUAAUCUCCACACGAAGUUAUCGGAUCUUACCUGGACAAAAUCCCCACAUGUAGUCAUCGGGUCUUUAGAGCUCGGAUAUAGUACGAGCACGAAGCUUACGGACAUUAAUCAGUGAUAAUAUUCUCGCAUAAAGCCUGCGGGGUUUUAACCCGGAUAUAGUACUGACACAAAUGCCCUUCGGGACUUAUCACAUAUAUACACUUUCACAUUCAUCACAUCGGCCAUUAGGCCUUAUCACAUAUAUACACUUUCACAUUCAUCACAUCGGCCAAUAGGCCUUAUCACAUAUAUAUACACUUUCACAUUCAUCACAUCGGCCAUUAGGCCUUAUCACAUAUAUAUACACUUUCACAUUCAUCACAUCGGCCAUUAGGCCUUAUCACAUAUAUACACUUUCACAUUCAUCACAUCGGCCAUUAGGCCUUAUCACAUAUAUAUACACUUUGACAUUCAUCACAUCGGCCAUUAGGCCUUAUCACAUAUAUAUACACUUUCACAUUCAUCACAUCGGCCAUUAGGCCUUAUCACAUAUAUACACUUUCACAUUCAUCACAUCGGCCAUUAGGCCUUAUCACAUAUAUACACUUUCACAUUCAUCACAUCGGCCAUUAGGCCUUAUCUCAUAUUUUCAUGUUCACAUCCAUCACAUAGAAUCCUAAAUCAAAAUAUAGAUUUUCAUGUAUUCACAUCACAAUUAUCCAAAUAUACUUCACAUACCACAUAUACUUUCACGUAUACACACUGUCUUGGCUCAAUCUACAUCUAUCAUUUUCCAAUAUCACAAUUUAGAAUUCACGUAUGGGUUUAAUCAAUAGUUUAUGAGCAACUAAAACAAGUUUAUCAAGGUUUACAACACAAUCUCAAAUUCAGUACAAGCUGUUUUUCCUGAGCAAUAGUCACUAAAUUAUUUAUAAUUGGAGCUACAAAACUCCAAAUCACUUUCCGUUAAUUUUUCCUGAAUAUAGACUUGUAUAUCUUCCAUCCAUAAAAUUUCAAGAAUUUUAGGUUUGGCUAAUAAAUACCAGAUUUUUCUUAAAGUUUCCCCUGUUUCACUGUUUGACUAAUCUGACCACUCUUCACUACGAAUCAAAUUUCUCAUUUUACAGAAUUCAAAAUGUGUUGUAUUUGAUUUAAUUUGAAUCUAGACUCAUUAAGGAGACUAAGCAUAUAAUUUUUAUCUUAUAACCAUUUUUUUAGAAUUUAUAAUGAUUUUCUAAAAAUAGAACAGAGGAUUACAGUGUCAUUCUACGCUGUCUCACACAACUUUAAGUAUCUCAUUAUCCGAAAUUCCUUUGCUUACACGGUUUCUUUUAUAAGAAACUAGACUCAUUAAGCUUUAAUUUAAUGUCUCAUUCAGCCUCUAAUUCAAAUCCAUAAAUUUAUGGUGAUUUUCUAAAGUCACAUUACUGCUGCUGUCCUAAGCAGACUAUUUCAAUUUACCCUUAAAUUCCCAAGCUCAAACACUUAAGAACUUACCAUUUGAGCUUAGAACAUAUCAUGGCCACAUCAUAUCUUAUUAAAUCAACUCAUCAUGUCCUAUUAUAAUUGAAUUUACUCAACAUUUAAUCACUUAAAACUUACCUCGGAUGUUGUUGAACGAUUUCGGCGGCUAUUCGAUCACUUUUUCCUUUCCUUUAUCCAACUUUGGUCCUCUAAGCUCUUGAGCUAAUUCAAACAAAUUUAACUUAUUAAAGUCUCAUUAUGCUAGCUUAUGGCCGAAUAUGACAAGGAUUUUGAUUGGUCAUAUGGCCACCUUCUAGCUCAACUACACAAUGGUCAUAUGCAUUUUUAAUCACAUCAAGCAAUUUAAUUCAAUUCAUUCGAACAUCAAAAGAAAACCUCAAGGUACUUAGCCCAUAUAUACUUUAGGCAUUAGAGUCACAUAUAUAUAUGGAAUCAUGAAUCAAACUCAACAUUUUAGCUAAUAUUCCCCCUUGGCCAAAUUUUCUAAGCCAAGACAAAAGCAUCAAUAUGCUUGCCUCUAACCGAAUACAUGCAACACCAUCUUCUUCCUAUGGCCGAAUAUGCAUGUCUAUGUUGAGGCCGAUUAUAUACUUAAUACCACACAUAAAUGGCAUACAUUUUACUAACUAAUGCAUUACAUAUUAUAACUCAAUACGCAUCCAUCAUUUAAUCCAUAACCGAAUCACCAUCAUGUGUAAGUAUAUACCUUGAGAUAAUAUAUAGGUCAUACCAAUACGUAAUGUGCAAUCAUAUAUAUAUGUGCAAGAGCCUAAUCACAAAUUUGAUUAUAACCAAAUUUAUACAUAUAUCCAAAACAUAAAUCUUACCUACCAUGCAAUAAGCAUAAAUCACACUUAUGGAUAUACCAUGGCCGAUACUUCCAACAACACCAAAUAAAAAUAUACUUCAUGGAUCUAAGGUAGAACCAAGAAAGAAACUCAUAAUCAUCAAGAUGUAAGCAACUACCAUUGUUCAUCUAGAUUUAGCAUGAAACACAACCAUCACCCUUAUUAAUCUCCAUAGCCGAAAACCUUACUUAUUCCAAAAUCACAAUUUCAACAUGGGUUACCAACAAUAACUUGAUAUCUCACUCAAAAUCAACUAGGAUUUCAAGAACUGGUAUCAACUUCCUUACCUUAAUAUCGACCUAAGAUGACCGAUUGCUUCACUCUUUCCUUCCUCCUCUCAAUCCGGCCAAGAAGAACCAAAGAACACAACUUGUUUCCUUUCCUCCUUAGAACAUUCGGCCAAGAGAAAUGAAAAAAAGAUGGACACUUUUUUUUUGUUUUUUUUCUUACAUUCACGGCAAUGGGGAGGGGGGGAGAAACAAUCACACACAUUCUUUCUUUUUUUUUUUCCAUUUCUUUAUUACCCAUACUCCUUAUUUUAUUGUUCCUAACAUACAUCACUAACAUAACAUGUUUGUGACAUGUUUCCACUCAUAGCAUGGCCGGCCACUAUGCCUUAAUUUGGGUAAAUUGACAUGCAAACCCAUCAUUUUCACAAUAUGCAUUAAUAGGCCACUUUGCAUUUGCCUAGCACAUUUCUAAAUUUUCUCACAUAAGUCCUAUUUGAUAAAAUUCACUUACAAUUAACAAAAUUCAAACAUGAAAUUUUCACACAUGCACAUGUACAUAUAAUGAGCAUCAAUUAUGACGGUUAAUUAUUUUUAUGACUCGGUUUAGUGGUUUCGAAACCACUUCCCGACUAGGGUCAAAUUAGGGGUGUCACAACUCUUCCCCCCUUUAGAGAUUUUCGUCCCCGAAAAUUUCUACCGAUGCAUAGUUUAGGAUAACGUCCUCUUAUUGAAUUAUAUUCAUAUAAACAUUAGCUCAUCGAUGGCAAUUGUAAUUCAUUAUUGAUUUCGCAUCGAUCUAUAAAAUCAUUUUCUUAUCUUAAAACAAAUACAUAAACAUUUCUACAAGUAUGCACAUAUAUCUCAUUUUCUUGAUUUCAUAAGUAUUAAUCACUUAAUUUAAUUCACAGUUGCAUCUCAAACACAUAUUAAGCACAUAUUAAUAUGUAUAAUUCACAUCAUCAACCCACAUAUUUGUAACCCACAUUUUCAUUCAUGUAUAAGCUGUAACCUGACCGAAAGUACACAUAUACUCAAACAUCCCAAUAAAUAUCCUUUAUCACUCCAUCAUAUCUCACUAUUCAACUUAACCUAUUUCCAACAGAGAAUCAACUUCCACAUACCUGAACAUUGAGUUCAUUUAGCACAUUCAAUCACCGUUAACAAUACCCGUAUACAAUCGAUUUGGCAUCAAGCCUCAUAUUGUAUACCGGCAUGGGAUUUAUUUUAGCACAUAACCCAUAUAUCCAAAAUUAUCAGCAUUCAUCACAAAUUCUUACAGACUUUCAAAUGUCAAACUUAAUCGAAAUAAUUUCUUGAAUAUGAUUAACAAAAAAAUAGGGGUCAUUUAGCAAUAGCACAUAUGACUUCAUAUACGAAGCAUUCCAUAGACUAAAUUCAUAACACAUUUACAACAUGAAUUCAUUUCUUAACAACAUAUCCACCAUCUUUUUACUUUCAUCUGAUUUUCUCAUACCUUCCGUACAUACCUGUAUCACUUAUUCUGAUCUUACUUAAUUUAUCAUCUUAAAUAUACCUGUUGAAUCAUUCGAAAUCAUUACGGAUACUCAUUAAGCACAUAUAGCUCUUACAAUGCCAUAUCCUAGAUAUGGUCUUACAUAUUCUCACAUAUCGAGCCGAUGCCAUGUCCUAGACAUGGUCUUACACACUAUCUCAAAUCUAUGCCUUCGUCCCAAACGAGGUCUUACAUGAAUUCCACUUCACACACUUAGUGCCCACUGACCGAUCUCGCACUCAUAGUGCUCGGUUAAAGGAAUUCGCACACACACAGUGCCUCUAAUCAUUCACACACAUAGUGCUCUUAUUCAUUCGUUAAUACACAUUGAAAUGACUUAACCAAGUCUAUAAACAUCAUGUAUGUACACUUUUAAACAUAUCAUCUCAUUUAAAUUUGAAUUCGUAUAGUAAUGAGCACUUAAACUUUGCUCAAAUUACCGGCACGAAGCCUACUAGGCACGAAGGCCCGAAUACACGUCACCAGCAUGAUUGCUCUUCGAGACCUAGCCCGGAUAUAACACCAGCACGAAUGCUCUUCGGGGUUUAGCACGGAUAUAUCACUAGCACGAAUGCUCCUCGGGACUUAGCCCGGAUAUAUCACUAGCACGAAUGCUCUUCGGGACUUAGCCCGGAUAUAUCACUAGCACGAAUGCUCUUCGGGACUUAGCCCGGAUAUAUCCUAGCACGAAUGCUCUUCGGGACUUAGCCCGGAUAUAUCACUAGCAGGAAUGCUCUUCGGGACUUAGCCCGGAUAUAUCACUCUCAAUUCUCAUGUACAUAUACACAUAUAGCAAUACACAUUAGUAUAUCAUUUACAUUACUUGAAUACAAACACAACAUGCUUAUCGACCAUUCAACUUCCAGUUCCAUAGCCACAUACAAAAAUCACAUUUAUAGUCAUAACACUCUUUCAAAAUUGCAUCACUUAUACCCUUAUAAUUCAAUCCAAAUCAAAAUUCAAAUACGAGUACAUGAUACGUACCUGAUCAACUUAAUAAUUUAGGCAUAUCUAAGUGAAGUUAUAUCGCAAAUUCUCAUAGUCAGAAGCUUGCUACAGCUCGAUCGGGAUCAAGAUUCAUUACAAUACAGCAAACACAUUUUAAUAGCCAAAAAUCAUCACACUAUAAUUUUAUCACUUUAUGGCAUGUAUAAAUAGACUCACGCGUGCUACGUUAGUCCUAGAAUCGACUAAACCGUAGCUCUGAUACCAGUAAAAUGUAACACCCCUAUCCCGUAACCGUCACCGGAAUAGGUAAGGGGCAUUACCGGACUUGUAACUCACGUCAGAACAGUAAAAUUUUGAAUUUUUUUCUUGAAAUAAAGAUCAUUCAUUUAAAUAAGUACUAAGCACAGCCAGGGAUAAAAUUUAAACUUCUCUAAGUAAACAUUCAAAAGAUGCCAUUUUCGCAUGGCUUAUAUACAUUAACCAAAAAUAUUCUCCCGCCACUAGUCUAUUCUAUACAUGCCAUAAGAUAAUCCAAAACGUAGCAGUACCAAACAGUGGAUAGUGAUAGUGUGACUAGUUGCUGAUGAUCCCCGAGCCUGUAGCUUCCAAAUGAGAUCUAUAAAACAGAGGAAACAGAGUAAACGGAGUAAGCAUUACAAUGCUUAGUAAGUUUUAAGCAGUGUCAAUAGAUAACAAUCAAAUUAUAACAUAGUUGUUCGUAUUUUUAUUUCACUCUUCCUUCGGGCAUACCAUCCAUUUACCGAAUAUGCACAUCUCAUCAUAUACAAUAGGCAGAUAAACUUUCACAUAAAAGUGAGCUCAUGUGACAUAGAUAUAUCGUAUGAUUUCACAUAACCUCUCACACUGAUCCGAUGUCACAUAAUCAUAGGAAUAGUUUCAUAGACUGCUCUCGUAUGCAUGACAUAACUACCUUAUGAUUUAGUGCAAAUCAAGCUCACAUAUAAACUUGGAGUACAUACCUGUUUAACCUUUCGCAUUGAAUAUAUUUAUAAGCAAUUCUUCUUACGAAGUCUUACCCGGACAUAAUCUCCACACGAAGUUAUCGGAUCUUACCCGGAGAAAAUCCCCACACGUAGUCAUCGGGUCUUUAGAGCUCAGAUAUAGUACGAGCACGAAGCUUACGGACAUUAAUCAGUGAUAAUAUUCUCGCAUAAAGCCUGCGGGGUUUUAACCCGGAUAUAGUACUGACAUAAAUGCCCUUCGGGACUUAUCACAUUUAUACACUUUCACAUCCAUCACGUUGGCUAUUAGGCCUUAUCACAUAUAUACACUUUCACAUUCAUCACAUCGGCCAUUAGGCCUUAUCACAUAUAUACACUUUCACAUUCAUCACAUCGGCCAAUAGGCCUUAUCACAUAUAUAUACACUUUCACAUUCAUCACAUCGGCCAUUAGGCCUUAUCACAUAUAUAUACACUUUCACAUUCAUCACAUCGGCCAUUAGGCCUUAUCACAUAUAUACACUUUCACAUUCAUCACAUCGGCCAUUAGGCCUUAUCACAUAUAUAUACACUUUCACAUUCAUCACAUCGGCCAUUAGGCCUUAUCACAUAUAUAUACACUUUCACAUUCAUCACAUCGGCCAUUAGGCCUUAUCACAUAUAUACACUUUCACAUUCAUCACAUCGGCCAUUAGGCCUUAUCUCAUAUAUUCAUGUUCACAUCCAUCACAUAGAAUCCUAAAUCAAAAUAUAGAUUUUCAUGUAUUCACAUCACAAUUAUCCAAAUAUACUUCACAUACCACAUAUACUUUCACGUAUACACACUGUCUUGGCUGAAUCUACAUCUAUCAUUUUCCAAUAUCACAAUUUAGAAUUCAUGUAUGGGUUUAAUCAAUAGUUUAUGAGCAACUAAAACAAGUUUAUCAAGGUUUACAACACAAUCUCAAAUUCAGCACAAGCUGUUUUUCCUGAGCAAUAGUCACUAAAUUAUUUAUAACUGGAGCUACAAAACUCCAAAUCACUUUCCAUUAAUUUUUCCUGAAUAUAAACUCGUAUAUCUUCCAUCCAUAAAAUUUCCAGAAUUUUAGGUUUGGCCAAUCAAUACCAGAUUUUUCUUAAAGUUUCCCCUGUUUCACUGUUUGACUAAUCUGACUACUCUUCACUACGAAUCAAAUUUCUCAUUUUAAAGAAUUCAAAAUGUGUUGUAUUUGUUUUCAUUUGAAACUAGACUCAUUAAGGAGUCUAAUCAUAUAAAUUUUAUCUUAUAACCAUUUUUGUACAAUUUAUAAUGAUUUUCUAAAAACAGAACAGAGGAUUACAGUGUCAUUCUGCGCUGUCUCACACAACUUUAAGUAUCUCAUUAUCAGAAAUUCCUUUGCUUACACGGUUUCUUUUAUAAGGAACUAGACUCAUUAAGCUUUAAUUUCAUGUCUCAUUCAGCCUCUAAUUCAAAUCCAUAAAUUUAAUCACAUCAAGCAAUUUAAUACAAUUCAUUCGAACAUCAAAAGAAAACCUCAAGGUACUUAGCCCAUAUAUACUUUAGGCAUUAGAGUCACAUAUAUAUAUGGAAUCAUGAAUCAAACUCAACAUUUUAGCUAAUAUUCCCCCUUGGCCAAAUUUUCUAAGCCAAGACAAAAGCAUCAAUAUGCUUGCCUCUAACCGAAUACAUGCAACACCAUCUUCUUCCUAUGGCCGAAUAUGCAUGUCUAUGUUGAGGCCGAUUAUAUACUUAAUACCACACAUAAAUGGCAUACAUUUUACUAACUAAUGCAUUACAUAUUAUAACUCAAUACGCAUCCAUCAUUUAAUCCAUAACCGAAGCACCAUCAUGUGUAAGUAUAUACCUUGAGAUAAUAUAUAGGUCAUACCAAUACGUCAUGUGCAAUCAUAUAUAUAUGUGCAAGAGCCGAAUCACAAAUUUGAUUAUAACCAAAUUUAUACAUAUAUCCAAAACAUAAAUCUUACCUACCAUGCAAUAAGCAUAAAUCACACUUAUGGAUAUACCAUGGCCGAUACUUCCAACAACACCAAAUAAAAAUAUACUUCAUGGAUCUAAGGUAGAACCAAGAAAGAAACUCAUAAUCAUCAAGUUGUAAGCAACUACCAUUGUUCAUCUAGAUUUAGCAUGAAACACAACCAUCACCCUUAUUAAUCUCCAUAGCCGAAAACCUUACUUAUUCCAAAAUCACAAUUUCAACAUGGGUUACCAACAAUAACUUGAUAUCUCACUCAAAAUCAACUAGGAUUUCAAGAACUAGUAUCAACUUCCUUACCUUAAUAUCGACCUAAGAUGACCGAUUGCUUCACUCUUUCCUUCCUCCUCUCAAUCCGGCCAAGAAGAACCAAAGAACACAACUUGUUUCCUUUCCUCCUUAGAACAUUCGGCCAAGAGAAAUGAAAAAAAGAUGGACACUUUUUUUUUGUUUUCUUUCUUACAUUCACGGCAAUGGGGAGGGGGGGAGAAACAAUCACACACAUUCUUUCUUUUUUUUUUUCCAUUUCUUUAUUACCCAUACUCCUUAUUUUAUUUUUCCUAACAUACAUCACUAACAUAACAUGUUUGUGACAUGUUUCCACUCAUAGCAUGGCCGGCCACUAUGCCUUAAUUUGGGUAAAUUGACAUGCAAACCCAUCAUUUUCACAAUAUGCAUUAAUAGGCCACUUUGCAUUUGCCUAGCACAUUUCUAAAUUUUCUCACAUAAGUCCUAUUUGAUAAAAUUCACUUACAAUUAACAAAAUUCAAACAUGAAAUUUUCACACAUGCACAUGUACAUAUAAUGAGCAUCAAUUAUGACGGUUAAUUAUUUUUAUGACUCGGUUUAGUGGUCCCGAAACCACUUCCCGACUAGGGUCAAAUUAGGGGUGUCAUAGGAAUUUUAUUUAUUGUUCUUAUAAUUGCUAGUAUUAGAACACGAUUUUCCAAAGCAACUACUGUUAUUCAAAACAUCACGUAACGGCAAUUGUUUUUAAAGUAAGUUUCCGCAACUACCAAGAUUUUUACAAAGUUGUUAAGAAUGUUAUUCAGCUGAGGUUUUCUAACAAGGUUUAAAAAGGGUAUAAGUUUUUAAUUAUUAAGAAGGGUUUUUAAUGGAAACAUGGUUUUCGAAAAACACUUCAAUGUGACACGCCAAGUUCGAGCCAAACUUCCAGGCCAGGUUUGGGGUGUUACAUUUAGUGGUAUCAGAGCCUGGGUUGCAACAACUCAGUUGUGGAUUGGGUUUUCAAAGGUUGAAUUUUAGAAAAUUAUUUUCAACCACGUGGUCUGUUUGAAGUAUUUCUCUUAAAAAGUAUGGCACACCGAGUCUCCGGCGCCAAAUCCGUAAGUCUUCUGAAUACUUUUGUCUAUUUAGAAAUUGAAAUACUAUGGAUUCCUUAGAUAUUGGUCUGAAUUUAAAUUUGGUAUUUAUUUUAUGUGGAUGUGAUGUUUGGAUAUAGAAAUUGUAUAUAUGUGUGAUAAAUAUGUGUCUGCUUCAGUGAAUAAGUGUUGUAUGUAUGAGAUGUUUCAAGUUCUAGUUGAAGUGUGAUAGUGAUAGUAGGAUCAGAGUGCGCAGCGGUAGCGUAGUGGGGUAGAUGUUACACGACUACCCUGUUAGAUGAAAAUUUCGAGGACAAAAUUUCUUUAAGGGAGGUAGAGUUGUAACACCCUAAAUUUGGGCCUAGAAGUUUUGGGCCUUGAGCAUGGGAGCGGUUGAAGGCAGCUUAUAAUAUUCUAUUGUGCAUGCAAAUUUCGUUAAUGAAGGCUUGUUUUAGUGGUUAAGUGUGUUGAGAAGUGUUGGAGAAGUCCUGGGUUUAAACCUGGACUCUAGCAAAAAAUUUGGUUUAAGGUGAAUCAAACCCUGGGUGUAGUAGGUACGCCUUAAGAAUAUUGUUGGAGAAAUUGUGACACAAAAAACCUUAUGGCUUAGUGGCAAGUGGCGUGUGGAGCAUUUGAGGGGAGGCAUGGGUUCGAAUCCCAUGGCAAACAAAAAGCAUUUAUUUUGCUAACAGGGGCGGCAAGAGUUGGUGUUGAAUUUAAACUCUGAUGUUGGAGGGAUCCCACAUCGGGAAGCUAACAUAAGAGUGGAUGGGAAGCUAGCUUUAAAUAGAGAGAACCAUGAGGAGAGUAAAGGUACCUUUCUUGGCUGAUCCCUUUUGUUUUAUGGCGUGCUCGUUUGGGCUGGGCGUCGGCUAAGAGUGCUCGGAGCGUGGAUUAACUCCAGUCUCCAAUUAGGUAAUUUCCAGCCUUAGAUGGAUCGGGGUUGCUAGGGGCUCGGAGGAAGCCACACACACUAUUUAUGUUACAGUUUUGAUUAUUACCUUUAAAUUAUUUUAUGUGGGUUGUAGUAAAGCCGUUGUAAUUUUCUGGAUUUCAAAUUUGGAAUUUUAUUUAUUGUUCUUAUAAUUGCUAGUAUUAGAACACGAUUUUCCAAAGCA